rnacentral:rRNA from 1 species
GAUGAACGCUGGCGGCGUGCCUAAUACAUGCAAGUCGAGCGAACAGACGAGGAGCUUGCUCCUCUGACGUUAGCGGCGGACGGGUGAGUAACACGUGGAUAACCUACCUAUAAGGCUGGGAUAACUUCGGGAAACCGGAGCUAAUACCGGGUAAUAUAUUGAACCGCAUGGUUCAAUAGUGAAAGACGGUUUUGCUGUCACUUAUAGAUGGAUCCGCGCCGCAUUAGCUAGUUGGUAAGGUAACGGCUUACCAAGGCAACGAUGCGUAGCCGACCUGAGAGGGUGAUCGGCCACACUGGAACUGAGACACGGUCCAGACUCCUACGGGAGGCAGCAGUAGGGAAUCUUCCGCAAUGGGCGAAAGCCUGACGGAGCAACGCCGCGUGAGUGAUGAAGGUCUUCGGAUCGUAAAACUCUGUUAUUAGGGAAGAACAAAUGUGUAAGUAACUAUGCACGUCUUGACGGUACCUAAUCAGAAAGCCACGACUAACUACGUG